rnacentral:rRNA from 1 species
UAGCUUUAAGAUUUUUCAUUUAAAGUUUUACCUGCCCGGUGGAAUUUCUUAACGGCCGCAGUACUUUGACUGUGCUAAGGUAGCAUAAUAAAUUGGCUUUUAAUUAAAGUCGGGUAUGAAAGGGAAUUUGGAAAAUAACUGUCUCAAGUAUAUUUUAUUUUAAUUUAAUUAAUGAGUGAAAAUUCUCAUAUUUUAUUUCAUUAGACGAGAAGACCCUAAGAGUUAUAAUUAAAAUGAAUUUAUUUCAUAUAUCAUUUUUGUUGGGGCAACAAAGACUGGAUAGAACCGUCAAAAAGUAAUUUUACAUAACCAAUAAUAUUUAAAAAGAAAUAAACUACCUUAGGGAUAACAGCAUAAUUAAUUUUUAGAUUGUGACCUCGAUGUUGGAUUAAGGACUUAGUUUACUAGCCGUAAACUAAGAUAGUUCUGUUCGAACUGUAGUACCUU